rnacentral:rRNA from 1 species
UGCAAGUCGAACGAUGAACUGGAGCUUGCUCCAGGGAUUAGUGGCGAACGGGUGAGUAACACGUGAGUAACCUGCCCUUGACUCUGGGAUAAGCGUUGGAAACGACGUCUAAUACCGGAUAUGAACUGUGACGGCAUCGUCUGCAGUUGGAAAGAAUUUUGGUCAAGGAUGGACUCGCGGCCUAUCAGGUAGUUGGUGAGGUAAUGGCUCACCAAGCCGACGACGGGUAGCCGGCCUGAGAGGGUGACCGGCCACACUGGGACUGAGACACGGCCCAGACUCCUACGGGAGGCAGCAGUGGGGAAUAUUGCACAAUGGGCGAAAGCCUGAUGCAGCAACGCCGCGUGAGGGACGACGGCCUUCGGGUUGUAAACCUCUUUUAGUAGGGAAGAAGCGAAAGUGACGGUACCUGCAGAAAAAGCACCGGCUAACUACGUGCCAGCAGCCGCGGUAAUACGUAGGGUGCAAGCGUUGUCCGGAAUUAUUGGGCGUAAAGAGCUCGUAGGCGGUUUGUCGCGUCUGCUGUGAAAUCUGGGGGCUCAACCCCCAGCCUGCAGUGGGUACGGGCAGACUAGAGUGCGGUAGGGGAGAUUGGAAUUCCUGGUGUAGCGGUGGAAUGCGCAGAUAUCAGGAGGAACACCGAUGGCGAAGGCAGAUCUCUGGGCCGUAACUGACGCUGAGGAGCGAAAGCAUGGGGAGCGAACAGGAUUAGAUACCCUGGUAGUCCAUGCCGUAAACGUUGGGAACUAGAUGUAGGGGCCAUUCCACGGUUUCUGUGUCGCAGCUAACGCAUUAAGUUCCCCGCCUGGGGAGUACGGCCGCAAGGCUAAAACUCAAAGGAAUUGACGGGGGCCCGCACAAGCGGCGGAGCAUGCGGAUUAAUUCGAUGCAACGCGAAGAACCUUACCAAGGCUUGACAUAUACCGGAAACGUCCAGAGAUGGUCGCCCCGCAAGGUCGGUAUACAGGUGGUGCAUGGUUGUCGUCAGCUCGUGUCGUGAGAUGUUGGGUUAAGUCCCGCAACGAGCGCAACCCUCGUUCUAUGUUGCCAGCACGUUAUGGUGGGAACUCAUAGGA